ACCCUUAGAUGUCCUGGGCUGCACGCGCGCUACACUGAUGUGUCCAGUAAGCACCUAACCUCUUCCGAAAGGAACGGGUAACCUUUGCAAAGCACAUCGUGAUGGGGAUAGAUUAUUGCAAUUAUUAGUCUUGAACGAGGAAUUCCUAGUAAGCACAAGUCAUCAGCUUGUGUUGAUUACGUCCCUGCCCUUUGUACACACCGCCCGUCGCUCCUACCGAUUGAAUGUUCCGGUGAGCACUUCGGACUGCGCGGUCUGCAGUUUCUGCGUUCCGUGCGGAAAGUUGCGCAAACCUUAACAUUUAGAGGAAGGAGAAGUCGUAACA
rnacentral:rRNA from 1 species